AGAGUUUGAUCCUGGCUCAGGACGAACGCUGGCGGCGUGCUUAACACAUGCAAGUCGAACGGUGAAGUCCCUUCGGGGGCGGAUCAGUGGCGAACGGGUGAGUAACACGUGGGCAAUCUGCCCCUCACUGUGGGAUAACUCCGGGAAACCGGGGCUAAUACCGCAUAUGAAGCCUGGCGGCAUCGCCGGGUUUGGAAAGUUUUUCGGUGAGGGAUGAGCCCGCGGCCUAUCAGCUUGUUGGUGAGGUAAUGGCUCACCAAGGCGACGACGGGUAGCCGGCCUGAGAGGGCGACCGGCCACACUGGGACUGAGACACGGCCCAGACUCCUACGGGAGGCAGCAGUGGGGAAUAUUGGGCAAUGGGCGAAAGCCUGACCCAGCGACGCCGCGUGCGGGAUGAAGG
rnacentral:rRNA from 1 species